rnacentral:rRNA from 1 species
GGCACGCGCAUCACUGGCCCGCUCCGAGUGAGCGGCUCACGAUCAAAUUUGAAAUCUAGCACUUUCAGUGUUCGAGUUGUAAUUUGAAGAAGGUAACUUUGGAAUUGGCUCUUGUCUAUGUUCCUUGGAACAGGACGUCACAGAGGGUGAGAAUCCCGUGCGAUGAGAUGUCCAAUUCUAUGUAAAGUGCUUUCGAAGAGUCGAGUUGUUUGGGAAUGCAGCUCUAAGUGGGUGGUAAAUUCCAUCUAAAGCUAAAUAUUGGCGAGAGACCGAUAGCGAACAAGUACAGUGAUGGAAAGAUGAAAAGAACUUUGAAAAGAGAGUGAAAAAGUACGUGAAAUUGUUGAAAGGGAAGGGCUUGAGAUCAGACUUGGUAUUUUGUGUUCCUUAUCCUUCUUGGAUUAGGUUCCUCACAGCUUACCGGGCCAGCAUCGGUUUGGAUGGCAGGAUAAUGACAUUGGAAUGUAGCUUUGCUUCGGUGAAGUGUUAUAGACUUUGUUGAUACUGCCUAUCUAGACCGAGGACUGCGUCUUUGACUAGGAUGCUGGCGUAAUGAUCUUAAGCCGCCCGUCUUGAAACACGGAACCGAUAUGCCAAA